rnacentral:lncRNA from 1 species
GUUGAGUCCUUGAGGAUCAGCCCAACCGAGCCAAGGAAUGAAAUCCGCAAUAUUGAAAGCACCAAAAAGCUUGGAGAACUCCUGCAAGAUCUUGAUGAACUCCUCUUGCCCUUCUUGCGAGCUACAACCGAACGCUGCCCUGUAAGUAAUGUUCUUUGUGAGGUUAAAGAUCAACUCACCCACAUUGAUUGCCUUCCCAGUGUUGGCUGAAACAGCUUUAAUGAGAGUCUCCACUUCGUCUCUAACGGACUCCCAUGAUUCAGCUCUUUUCCUGCUGAAAAGCUUCAUCACGCAGAGCUUGCGCAUCUGUCUCCAGAAAGGUCCGUAAUGAGCAAAAGCCAUAUCCGCCCUGUCAUACGUAAGAUAACUGAUGGC